ACGUAGGUGGCAAGCGUUGUCCGGAUUUAUUGGGUUUAAAGGGUGCGUAGGCGGUUGAUUAAGUCAGUUGUGAAAUACGGCAGCUUAACUGUCGAGGUGCAAUUGAUACUGGUUGACUUGAGUACAGACGAGGUAGGCGGAAUUGACGGUGUAGCGGUGAAAUGCAUAGAUAUCGUCAAGAACACCGAUAGCGAAGGCAGCUUACUAGACUGUAACUGACGCUGAGGCACGAAAGUGUGGGGAUCAAACAGGAUUAGAUACCCUGGUAGUCCACACUGUAAACGAUGAUUACUCGAUGUUGGCGAUACACAGCCAGCGUCUUAGCAAAAGCGAUAAGUAAUCCACCUGGGGAGUACGCCCGCAAGGGUG
rnacentral:rRNA from 1 species